rnacentral:rRNA from 1 species
UACGAAGGGGGCGAGCGUUGUUCGGAUUUACUGGGCGUAAAGCGCGUGUAGGCGGCUUGGCAAGUCGGAUGUGAAAGCCCACGGCUCAACCGUGGAAGCGCAUCCGAAACUGCUUCGCUCGAGUCUCGGAGAGGAAGGUGGAAUGCUUGGUGUAGAGGUGAAAUUCGUAGAUAUCAAGCAGAACACCUGCGGCGAAGGCGGCCUUCUGGACGAUGACUGACGCUGAGACGCGAAAGCGUGGGGAGCAAACAGG